rnacentral:rRNA from 1 species
GACGAACGCUGGCGGCGUGCUUAACACAUGCAAGUCGAACGGCAAGGCCCUGCUUUUGUGGGGUGCUCGAGUGGCGAACGGGUGAGUAACACGUGAGUAACCUGCCCUUGACUUUGGGAUAACUUCAGGAAACUGGGGCUAAUACCGGAUAGGAGCUCCUGCUGCAUGGUGGGGGUUGGAUAGUUUCGGCGGUUGGGGAUGGACUCGCGGCUUAUGAGCUUGUUGGUGGGGUAGUGGCUUACCAAGGCUUUGACGGGUAGCCGGCCUGAGAGGGUGACCGGGCACAUUGGGACUGAGAGACGGCCCAGACUCCUACGGGAGGCAGCAGGGGGGAAUAUUGCACAAUGGGCGCAAGCCUGAUGCAGCAACGCCGCGGGCGGGAUGACGGCCUUCGGGUGGUAAACCGCAUUCGCCUGUGACGAAGCGUUAGUGACGGUAAUGGGUGAAGAAGCACCGGCUAACUACGUG